CAAUGACUUCCUACCUCCUCAAAGUGAAAACGGCUGUAGAGUCUUUUUUUGUGAGAGAAGGGGCUAGAGUUUUCCACCAAAUUAGUCACAUUGUUUAAAUGUGAUUUAAUUAUUUUUUGGUCUAGUAUAAGAGGAAAAUCAUAUGGGAGGAAGAAGAAAGGACGGGGGGCUAGGGAGGGCACAGGGGAGGGGAAUGAAAUAAAAGGUGAAUGUCUUAAAUAAAAGCUUGAAAUGAAAACUAUUUGAAAUCACUUUAUGUGCAUGUUAUCCCUCAUAAAUUACAACUAAAAACGAAUUAAUGCAUUCCCAAAUUGGACCUGAAAUAUCAAUGGUUAAAAGACAUAACUAUAUCACGCAAGAUUCCAUCAGAAGUUGUUAUGGGGCAUCUAUAGUAGACUGAAAAUUGCUUGGGAUAUAGGUUGCAGUGCAAUUGUGUUUGAGUCUGACUCAACGACCGCGGUACACCUGCUUAACAAAAAUGUUGAAGACCUUCAUCCUUUUGCUGCUAUGUUAUGGGGAUGUCAAGACUAUAUAAAUAAAAACUGGGUUUGUUCUAUUCAUCAUGUAUAUCGUGAGUGCAACAUGGUAGCGGAUAAACUAGCUGAAUUGGGUUCAUAUCUUGAGUUGGGUCUGUCAACCUUCCAUGACCCUCCUGACAGUAUUAUGUUCUUUCCUAGUGAAGAUUUACUUGGAGUCUGUAGGCCUCGAGCCAUUGUUUAAUUUCUUUGCUGGGCGUUAGUCCCGUUUCUUUACCCACACAAAAAAAAAAAAAAAAAGGUCUUGGUCUUUUAUUCCCAUUGGGAGACGUACGUACGAGAGGCCAUUCUUUUUUCUUUUUUUUUUUGAAAUGCAGCGAUUUGGGGUGGGGGCACAUUUCCGGGAUUAUUCAAUUUGUUAAUUUCUUUUUUCUUUUGAAAAGUCAUAUGCUUUU
rnacentral:lncRNA from 1 species